AUCAGUCCCCACAUCUUCUUGUGUUGAAAUCAGUGAGGAGCAAGGAGAUAGCACUUCUGAGAGGGUGAGGGACAAGGAGAAGCCAAGUGUGCAGAGAUGGGGAAAUUGCCUGGGGUGCCUGGGAGUGCCCAGGAUGAAUGGAGUUAGGGGCUCCCAUUUAAGACAGGGUAACAUAUUGGGAAGGGGGAGCAGAAUGGUCUGAGAACUCAGUGUGGAGCAAGGACCCCACCCCAGCUGCUGGCCCAAGAAUAUAUUGUCCCCAUGUAAAUCCCCAGGGGAGAGGACUUCACUGGGCCUUUGUCCUCUGGCAGGCAAAGAUAUCUUGAGGGGAUUUUGUAGGUUUGUUUUUCAUAAGUUGAGGAUUCCAGGAGGUGUCAUGGGAAGAUUCCAGGAUUUGGGAAGAGGGCACAAGAGGAGACAGAACAGGGGUGUGCAGAGCCUCACGAGGAUAACAGUGCAGGAUGUUGAAGGGGACCUAGCAUGGCUAACCAAACAGGGAAGGGACACAGGUGGUUAGUCCUGGGGGAUUCAGGACAGGCAGUGAGGUGGGCUGGGAGAGGAGCAGGUGUAAGAGCAGUUGGGUCUGUUUCUUUUCUCUAUGGAUGAAGAUUAGUUUUGGGUUGUUGGGUCUUAGUGCCAUUGUGUAACCUUUCUUGACCUCUGAUCAUUAGGUGGAGUGUCUGAGGGUGGAGGUUGGCUAGGCUGUGCAUGAUUUAUUCCUCAACUGAGGAGAGUUGGGUGCUUACCCCUAGGGUCAGACCUUCUGACACCUGCUGCUGGAGGUGCCAUUUCUGGGUACCAUAUGACACCCUGACACAGAG
rnacentral:lncRNA from 1 species